UGGAGACGUGGCAGGGAGUGUCUACAAAGGGAGUUCCCCUAUCAUCCUUGGGGCAGUAGCUAGCUCACAGGCCAGAGGCUCUGGGCAGACCGAGCUCACAAAUGACUGGGGCUGUCCCAAGCUGUCCCAGGCUGUCCCAGGACGUCUUGGAGAAUGGCCACGUGGGGAAACAGGCCUUCCAGAGUCACUCUCAAAGGCCUGUGUGUGCAGCGUUAUGAAAAUCUCCGGGGUCGGAUGGGAUACGAGUAUUUAGAAACUACAUCGAAUUAUAACAUGUUUGAAAGAGGGAAAAAGACCUACCGAAUUGCAACGGAGCCUACGAAAGCAAGGAAGUAUCGGUGAAGCUGGGGUAAGCUGUGCCCCGCUGUCAGCCGCCCAGCGGAAGCAGAUGAUCCUCUUUCUGACGUAUAAUCAGAAGGUCAAGAGUAGCCUGAUGCUACGUCACUAUGGCUGCGUCAUUCCCCUCAAUUCAUCUCAUCGCGUCGCAUUUUAUCAUCUGGAAGCAUCACAAGAAGAAGGGGCUCCCUGGGAUUUGCACGAUUUGCUCAUCAGGCUCCCAGGCCUUCUUUCCUCCAGAUCGGGGCCCAUUCCGCCACAGAGAUCAAGGAUACCAUCUCUCAGCAAGUCCCUUUGAGAAUUGUAUUUGGCUUUCUCUGGACUGUCGCCAUCGCUAACCCACCUUCCUGUGUGACAGUGGCAAGAUCUGGCUGGCCUUUGCUUGGGACGCUGGGCGGUCAGGAGAGCUGACUGCCCAGCUUCUCCUUGUGCAGGUGUACCAUGGCCACGGUCACCUGCAUAGCUUCAGGCUUGACUUUGCCUCCCGCUCCAAUGCCGUCUUCUGCUUCUCACACAGAUUCUACUCAAUGUAAUGUCUGCCUCAAAUUCUGCCUUCUCCAGGGUGAUAACUUGCUGGCCCACCAGGACCUCUGCCUAUUAUCUUCAUUUCUGAAACACUAAUUAAAUUGAUUUAUCAGAUGUUGCCUCAAGACGUGUUUCUUCUAUGAUAAUUUAUUUGAGUAUAGUUAUCAUAUAUGUGGUAACCUUUCCUAAUAUAGAAAGACUGGAAUUGUAUCCAAAUUUUAAUAGGCUUCAGAUGUAAAAUGUAAUUUAAGUGUAACUUUAUAUUUGCCUCGAAUGCACAUUUUUGUUACUUUAAAAAUAUUAAUUUUAUUGAGAUAUACUUUAGUACUAUAAAAUGUACCCAUUUUAAGUGCAUGUUGUGAUGAAUUUUGGCAAAUUUAUAUAACCAUGUUAGAUCAUCAUAAUAGGAUAGAAGACAUUUACAUCAUCCAAAAGAAUUUCCAUGUGUUCCUUCUCAGUCAGCCGUUCCCAGCUUCCAUCUUGGCCCAAGGCAAUCACUAACCUGGCUUCUGACCCCGUAGAUUAGACCUGUCUUUUCUAGAGGUUCAUAUAAUGAAAUAUAAAGUAUGUACUCUGUGUCUGACUUUUUCCAUUCAGCAUAAUGUACUGGAUAUUCACCUGUGGACCAAUAUUUCCAUACCAUCGUUGAAUAGUAGUUUCAUUGUAUUAAUACACCACGAUUUGCUUUUCCAGUCUCCCAUUUAUGGACAGUGGAGUUCUUUCUUGGUCAUUGAGAAUAAAACUGCUAUAA